rnacentral:rRNA from 1 species
GACGAACGCUGGCGGCGUGCUUAACACAUGCAAGUCGAACGGAAAGGCCCUGCUUUUGUGGGGUGCUCGAGUGGCGAACGGGUGAGUAACACGUGAGUAACCUGCCCUUGACUUUGGGAUAACUUCAGGAAACUGGGGCUCAUACCGGAUAGGAGCUCCUGCUGCAUGGUGGGGGUUGGAAAGUUUCGGCGGUUGGGGAUGGCAUCGGGGCUUAUCAGCUUGUUGGUGGGUUAGUGGCUUACCAAGGCUUUGACGGGUGGCCGGCCGGAGAGGGUGACCGGCCAAAUUGGGACUGGGAGACGGCCCAAGCGACUCCGGGAGGCAGGAGGGGGGAAUAUUGCACAAUGGGCGGAAGCCUGAUGCAGCAACGCCGCGUGCGGGAUGACGUCCUUCGGGUUGUAAACCGCUUUCGCCUGUGACGAAGCGUGAGUGAGGGUAAUGGGGAAAGAAGCACCGGCUAAUUACGU